rnacentral:tRNA from 2 species
GCGCUCGUAGCUCAGUUGGAUAGAGCAACGGCCUUCUAAGCCGUAGGUCGCAGGUUCAAGUCCUGCCGGGCGCGCCA